GAUGAACGCUGGCGGCGUGCCUAAUACAUGCAAGUCGAGCGAACAGACGAGGAGCUUGCUCCUCUGACGUUAGCGGCGGACGGGUGAGUAACACGUGGAUAACCUACCUAUAAGACUGGGAUAACUUCGGGAAACCGGAGCUAAUACCGGAUAAUAUAUUGAACCGCAUGGUUCAAUAGUGAAAGACGGUUUUGCUGUCACUUAUAGAUGGAUCCGCGCCGCAUUAGCUAGUUGGUAAGGUAACGGCUUACCAAGGCAACGAUGCGUAGCCGACCUGAGAGGGUGAUCGGCCCCCCUGGAACUGAGACACGGUCCAGACUCCUACGGGCGGCAGCAGUAGGGAAUCUUCCGCAAUGGGCGAAAGCUUGACGGAGCAACGCCGCGUGAGUGAUGAAGGUCUUCGGAUCGUAAAACUCUGUUAUUAGGGAAGAACAAAUGUGUAAGUAACUAUGCACGUCUUGACGGUACCUAAUCAGAAAGCCCCGGCUAACUCCG
rnacentral:rRNA from 1 species